GCAAGUCGAGCGAGUGAACUAACUGAUUCCUUCGGGAUGACGUUAGUGGAUCUAGCGGCGGACGGGUGAGUAACACGUGGGCAACCUACCUACAAGAUCGGGAUAACUCCGGGAAACCGGGGCUAAUACCGGAUGAUAUUUUUCUUCGCAUGAAGAGAAAAUGAAAGGCGGCGCAAGCUGUCACUUGUAGAUGGGCCCGCGGCGCAUUAGCUAGUUGGUGAGGUAACGGCUCACCAAGGCCACGAUGCGUAGCCGACCUGAGAGGGUGAUCGGCCACACUGGGACUGAGACACGGCCCAGACUCCUACGGGAGGCAGCAGUAGGGAAUCUUCCGCAAUGGACGAAAGUCUGACGGAGCAACGCCGCGUGAGCGAUGAAGGUCUUCGGAUUGUAAAGCUCUGUUGUUAGGGAAGAACAAGUACAAGAGUAACUGCUUGUACCUUGACGGUACCUAACCAGAAAGCCACGGCUAACUACGUGCCAGCAGCCGCGGUAAUACGUAGGUGGCAAGCGUUGUCCGGAAUUAUUGGGCGUAAAGCGCGCGCAGGCGGUCUUUUAAGUCUGAUGUGAAAGCCCACGGCUUAACCGUGGAGGGUCAUUGGAAACUGGAGGACUUGAGUACAGAAGAGGAGAGUGGAAUUCCACGUGUAGCGGUGAAAUGCGUAGAGAUGUGGAGGAACACCAGUGGCGAAGGCGACUCUCUGGUCUGUAACUGACGCUGAGGCGCGAAAGCGUGGGUAGCGAACAGGAUUAGAUACCCUGGUAGUCCACGCCGUAAACGAUGAGUGCUAGUGUUAAGGGGGUUUCCGCCCCUUAGUGCUGAAGUUAACGCAUUAAGCACUCCGCCUGGGGGAGUACGGCCGCAAGGCUGAAACUCAAAAGAAUUUGACGGG
rnacentral:rRNA from 1 species